UUGACUGUGCUAAGGUAGCAUAAUAAAUUGGCUUUUAAUUGAAGUCGGGAAUGAAAGGGUGUUUGGAGUUAUUCUGUCUUAUUUUUACUUUUUAAAAAUUACUAAUGAAGUGAAAAUUCUUCAAUGUUUUAUGAUAGACGAGAAGACCCUAAGAAUUAUUACAACUAUUAAAUUGAAUUAAUAAAAGUUUUUGUUGGGGCAACAGCUUUGAAUAACCAAAGUUAAAAUUUACUAUAAAAAGAUUAUAUUAAAAACAGAUUUAAUUACCUUAGGGAUAACAGCAUAAUUAAAUUUUAGAUUGUGACCUCGAUGUUGGAUUAAGGCCU
rnacentral:rRNA from 1 species